AGCAGCCGCGGUAAUUCCAGCUCCAAUAGCGUAUAUUAAAGUUGUUGCAGUUAAAAAGCUCGUAGUUGAAUUUCGGGAUCAAUGUUUCGGUCAUGCCCUUGGUAUGUACCGAUAUUAUUGGUUUCUCACCUUCUAAAGAACCGUAAUGCCAUUAAUUUGGUGUCACGGGGAAUUAGGACUGUUACCUUGAAAAAAUUAGAGUGUUUAAAGCAGGCUCACGCUUGAAUACAUUAGCAUGGAAUAAUGAAAUAGGACAUCCGAUUCUAUUUUGUUGGUUUCUAGGAUCGAUGUAAUGAUUAAUAGGGAUAGUUGGGGGCAUUAGUAUUCAAUUGUCAGAGGUGAAAUUCUUGGAUUUAUUGAAGACUAACUACUGCGAAAGCAUUUGCCAAGGAUGUUUUCAUUAAUCAAGAACGAAAGUUAGGGGAUCGAAGACGAUCAGAUACCGUCGUAGUCUUUACCAUAAACUAUGCCGACUAGGGAUCGGAUGAUGUUAAUUUUUUAAUGACUCA
rnacentral:rRNA from 1 species